GACGAACGCUGGCGGCGUGCCUAAUACAUGCAAGUCGAGCGAGACUCUUCGGAGUCUAGCGGCGGACGGGUGAGUAACACGUGGGCAACCUGCCUGUAAGACUGAGAUAACACCGGGAAACCGGUGCUAAUACCGGAUAGUCCUUUUCCUCUCAUGAAGAAAAGCUGAAAGUCGGUUUCGGCUGACACUUACAGAUGGGCCCGCGGCGCAUUAGCUAGUUGGUGAGGUAACGGCUCACCAAGGCGACGAUGCGUAGCCGACCUGAGAGGGUGAUCGGCCACACUGGGACUGGGACACGGCCCAGACUCCUACGGGAGGCAGCAGUAGGGAAUCUUCCACAAUGGACGAAAGACUGAUGGAGCAACGCCGCGUGAGCGAUGAAGGCCUUCGGGUCGUAAAGCUCUGUUGUUAGGGAAGAACAAGUACCGGAGUAACUGCCGGUACCUUGACGGUACCUAACCAGAAAGCCACGGCUAACUACGUGCCAGCAGCCGCCGUAACAC
rnacentral:rRNA from 1 species